CAGCGACUUAACUGAACCUUCGGGGAACGUUAAGGGCGGCGAGCGGCGGACGGGUGAGUAAUGCCUGGGAAUAUGCCCUGAUGUGGGGGAUAACUAUUGGAAACGAUAGCUAAUACCGCAUAAUCUCUUCGGAGCAAAGAGGGGGACCUUCGGGCCUCUCGCGUCAGGAUUAGCCCAGGUGGGAUUAGCUUGUUGGUGAGGUAAUGGCUCACCAAGGCAACGAUCCCUAGCUGGUCUGAGAGGAUGAUCAGCCACACUGGAACUGAGACACGGUCCAGACUCCUACGGGAGGCAGCAGUGGGGAAUAUUGCACAAUGGGGGAAACCCUGAUGCAGCCAUGCCGCGUGUGUGAAGAAGGCCUUCGGGUUGUAAAGCACUUUCAGUAGGGAGGAAGGUAGUGUAGUUAACACCUGCACUAUUUGACGUUACCUACAGAAGAAGCACCGGCUAACUCCGUGCCAGCAGCCGCGGUAAUACGGAGGGUGCGAGCGUUAAUCGGAAUUACUGGGCGUAAAGCGCAUGCAGGCGGCCUGUUAAGUCAGAUGUGAAAGCCCGGGGCUUAACCUCGGGACUGCAUUUGAAACUGGCAGGCUAGAGUCUUGUAGAGGGGGGUAGAAUUUCAGGUGUAGCGGUGAAAUGCGUAGAGAUCUGAAGGAAUACCAGUGGCGAAGGCGGCCCCCUGGACAAAGACUGACGCUCAGAUGCGAAAGCGUGGGGAGCAAACAG
rnacentral:rRNA from 1 species